GAUGAACGCUGGCGGCGUGCCUAAUACAUGCAAGUCGAGCGAACGGACGAGAAGCUUGCUUCUCUGAUGUUAGCGGCGGACGGGUGAGUAACACGUGGAUAACCUACCUAUAAGACUGGGAUAACUUCGGGAAACCGGAGCUAAUACCGGAUGAUAUUUUGAACCGCAUGGUUCAAAAGUGAAAGACGGUCUUGCUGUCACUUAUAGAUGGAUCCGCGCUGCAUUAGCUAGUUGGUAAUGUAACGGCUUACCAAGGCAACGAUGCAUAGCCGACCUGAGAGGGUGAUCGGCCACACUGGAACUGAGACACGGUCCAGACUCCUACGGGAGGCAGCAGUAGGGAAUCUUCCGCAAUGGGCGAAAGCCUGACGGAGCAACGCCGCGUGAGUGAUGAAGGUCUUCGGAUCGUAAAACUCUGUUAUUAGGGAAGAACAUAUGUGUAAGUAACUGUGCACAUCUUGACGGGACCUAAUCAGAAAGCCACGGCUAACUACGU
rnacentral:rRNA from 1 species